rnacentral:snoRNA from 1 species
CGGACCAAUGGUGAUGACUGGUGGAGUAUGAGUCAUGGAUGAUGAAUACUAUGUGCCUGUUUAUUUCACACAGUAUAUAAUCUAA